rnacentral:rRNA from 1 species
UACGGGGGGGGCAAGCGUUGUUCGGAAUUACUGGGCGUAAAGGGCUCGUAGGCGGCCAACUAAGUCAGACGUGAAAUCCCUCGGCUUAACCGGGGAACUGCGUCUGAUACUGGAUGGCUUGAAUCCGGGAGAGGGAUGCGGAAUUCCAGGUGUAGCGGUGAAAUGCGUAGAUAUCUGGAGGAACACCGGUGGCGAAGGCGGCAUCCUGGACCGGUAUUGACGCUGAGGAGCGAAAGCCAGGGGAGCAAACGGG